GACGAACGCUGGCGGCGUGCUUAACACAUGCAAGUCGAACGGAAAGGCCCUGCUUGCAGGGUACUCGAGUGGCGAACGGGUGAGUAACACGUGGGUGAUCUGCCCUGCACUUCGGGAUAAGCCUGGGAAACUGGGUCUAAUACCGGAUAGGAGCCAUUUUUAGUGUGAUGGUUGGAAAGUUUUUUCGGUGUAGGAUGAGCUCGCGGCCUAUCAGCUUGUUGGUGGGGUAAUGGCCUACCAAGGCGGCGACGGGUAGCCGGCCUGAGAGGGUGGACGGCCACAUUGGGACUGAGAUACGGCCCAGACUCCUACGGGAGGCAGCAGUGGGGAAUAUUGCACAAUGGGCGCAAGCCUGAUGCAGCGACGCCGCGUGGGGGAUGACGGCCUUCGGGUUGUAAACUCCUUUCGCUAGGGACGAAGCUUUUUGUGACGGUACCUAGAUAAGAAGCACCGGCUAACUACGUGCCAGCAGCCGCGGUAAUACGUAGGGUGCGAGCGUUGUCCGGAAUUACUGGGCGUAAAGGGCUCGUAGGUGGUUUGUCGCGUCGUCUGUGAAAUUCCGGGGCUUAACUCCGGGCGUGCAGGCGAUACGGGCAUAACUUGAGUACUGUAGGGGUAACUGGAAUUCCUGGUGUAGCGGUGAAAUGCGCAGAUAUCAGGAGGAACACCGAUGGCGAAGGCAGGUUACUGGGCAGUUACUGACGCUGAUGUGCGAAAGCGUGGGGAUCAAACAGGAUUAGAUACCCUGGUAGUCCACGCCGUAAACGAUGAGUGCUAAGUGUUAGGGGGUUUCCGCCCCUUAGUGCUGCAGCUAACGCAUUAAGCACUCCGCCUGGGGAGUACGACCGCAAGGUUGAAACUCAAAGGAAUUGACGGGGACCCGCACAAGCGGUGGAGCAUGUGGUUUAAUUCGAAGCAACGCGAAGAACCUUACCAAAUCUUGACAUCCUCUGACCCCUCUAGAGAUAGAGUUUUCCCCUUCGGGGGACAGAGUGACAGGUGGUGCAUGGUUGUCGUCAGCUCGUGUCGUGAGAUGUUGGGUUAAGUCCCGCAACGAGCGCAACCCUUAAGCUUAGUUGCCAUCAUUAAGUUGGGCACUCUAAGUUGACUGCCGGUGACAAACCGGAGGAAGGUGGGGAUGACGUCAAAUCAUCAUGCCCCUUAUGAUUUGGGCUACACACGUGCUACAAUGGACAAUACAAAGGGUAGCGAAACCGCGAGGUCAAGCAAAUCCCAUAAAGUUGUUCUCAGUUCGGAUUGUAGUCUGCAACUCGACUAUAUGAAGCUGGAAUCGCUAGUAAUCGUAGAUCAGCAUGCUACGGUGAAUACGUUCCCGGGUCU
rnacentral:rRNA from 1 species